rnacentral:tRNA from 1 species
GCGUUAGUGAAUCCGUUGGCUUUAU